rnacentral:tRNA from 3 species
GCAGGAGUGGCUGAACCGGCACGCCUGGGGGGGCGUGUGGCCGCAAGUUCGAAUCUUGUCAUCC